GUAGGGAAUAUUGGGCAAUGGAGGCAACUCUGACCCAGCCAUGCCGCGUGCAGGAUGACGGCCCUCUGGGUUGUAAACUGCUUUUAUACAGGAAGAAAAAAUACUACGUGUAGUAUACUGACGGUACCGUAAGAAUAAGGAUCGGCUAACUCCGUGCCAGCAGCCGCGGUAAUACGGAGGAUCCACGCGUUGUCCGGCUUUAUUGGGUUUAAAGGGUGCGUAGGCGGAACUUUAAGUCAGUGGUGAAAGCCUGCGACUUAACGGUAGGAUUGCCAUUGAAACUGAAGAUAUUGAAUGUGGUUAAAGUAGGCGGAAUGUAUCAUGUAGCGGUGAAAUGCUUAGAUAUGAUACAGAACACCGAUAGCGAAGGCAGCUUGCUUAACCAUUAUUGACGCUGAGGCACGAAAGCGUGGGGGGCGAACAGGAUUAGAAACCCUAGUAGUCC
rnacentral:rRNA from 1 species